GCGCCCAUAGCUCAAUGGAUAGAGCAACUGACUUCGGAUCAGUGGGUUGUGGGUUCGACUCCUGCUGGGCGCG
rnacentral:tRNA from 1 species